AUAAAUCUUAAAGUAUACUAAGAUUGGAACAAUACAGAGAAGAUUAGCAUGGCCUCUGCGCAAGGAUGACACUUGCGUUCCAUAUUUUA
ensembl:snRNA U6 U6 spliceosomal RNA